rnacentral:rRNA from 1 species
UACGUAGGAUGCAAGCGUUUGUCCGGAAUUACUGGGCGUAAAGGGCGAGCAGGUGGCACUACAAGUCUGAUGUAAAAUCUCCCGGCUCAACUGGGAGGGGUCAUUCGAUACUGGCGGGCUCGAGGCCGGUAGGGGAGUGUGGAAUUCCCGGUGUAGCGGUGAAAUGCGCAGAUAUCGGGAGGAACACCAGUAGCGAAGGCGGCACUCUGGGCCGGUACUGACGCUGAGGAGCGAAAGCGUGGGGAGCAAACAGG